UUGUAAUGCGCAUUUUAAAGUGAAAUUCCUAAUGUCGUUUUCUAAUCUCUCUCUCUAAAAAAGAAGAAAAAAAAAUCCUAUAAUUUUGGUUUUUAUACAGGUUUUUACUAAAAAAGAAAAAAUCCUAUAAUUUUGGUUUUUAUAUAGGUUUUUACUCACCAGUGGCUCUAUUACCCCCGAAAUAUUUAAUGUUUAAGGAUUAACAAGAGGCUACGGAAGGAAGCUUGCCCAUUUCCGUCUCCAUGAC
rnacentral:lncRNA from 1 species